UUGGUGCGACAAUUCCGGCAGCAGCACGGAAGAAGACCGAGCGGAGCCCCACCCAAUCUCUCUCUCUGUGUGCUGCAGUUCAAGACGUCCCAGGUCUGCCCCAUCUCACGCUCCACAGCAGCAAAGAAGUCCGCAAAAGUAGGAGCAGCCCAUGUCUCCGCCUUCAUCGGUCUCUCCUCCCCUCAGCUGCCACCUGCUGACUUCUUGGCUUGCUUCGGUCAACAGCAGCAACAACCGAAGCUCCUUGGUUGACCGCAAAAGCCCACGCCCGUGCAUGGAUCCACCGCCAACGACAGCCUUAGCUCCUCUCGCUCCCAGCUUUUGUUGAAGCCAUGACUGCCCACAUCUCGGUCAAAUUUCCCAUCGAGUGAAGCUCUUUGGUUGAUCGAGCAGCCUUUCUUUGCUACCACUUGGCCGCAUCUGCCUCUCCUUCGGUCAACAAGCGAACACUGAAGACCACCGAGGAAGCCUGCGUCCGUUCGCGAGAAAUUGUCCCCAAAUUUGGUCGGCCACCGAGUCAGCCGAGUUAGGCCAGCGAAGCAGCAUCCACCGAGCAGCUUCCAUCUUCGUCGUGUCUUCAUUUCCACGUAGGCUUCUUCAGCAACAACAGCCUAGCGAAGCCACGUUUCUUCUCUUGCGCAUCUCUAGCCCGUUGAAGUGUCGAAGCCCAGCAGCUCUGUGAUUCCUCAAUUGGGCAGCCACGCACGUUCAGCCCAUUUGGGCCGCAAGUCAGGCCCAACGAAUUCAGCUCUUCAUUUGGCAGCCCUUGCUACUUCUUGCUCGGCCAAAAUAUGCAAUCUUCAAGCCUAGUCCAACAGAUUCUUUUAAUUGUUUGGUCCAACAGCCCAAGAAGCUAGCAAAGCCCAGUGAAUUUCGGCCCAAGCCCAAGAGCGAGUUCAGCCCAAAGUAAAGAACAAAUCUCAGUUGGGCUGAGAUUUGUUGGGCCCAAGCUUAAGGCCCGGUCCAAGUCUGCUGGUGUCGUCGAAAGCCCGAUUUCGGCCGCCGUCGCGCAAUCGUCUCGGUGACCCAGUCUCCGCUUUUAAUCAUGACCUGGAUGAGGAGCCUAAGGAGGAGGAAUCUGACGAGGAGAUCCCUGUUGAGGAACCCGAAGAGGAGUACGUGGAGGAGGACCCCAAGGAUGACCCCGAGUACUACCUGGAUGAGGACUGAGAUCCCGUCCUGUCUUGUCAAACCUUGUUUGCAUGUGAAUAGAUGUUAGAUCAGACUUACGUAUAUAUAGUAUUGUAGAAUACUAUGAGAUGCGUAUAAAAAUGUGUGGUUGUGAAUUUUCAGUAUGAAAAAUAUAUGGCCUGCUUUUCUAUCA